AGCUGGGCUGGGGUUUGAAGGAUAAGCGGGUAUUAGCAAGGAGAGCAAGGAGGAAAAGACGUCACAGGCAGAGGAGAGAGCGCACGCCAAGUCCAACACAAGAAAUUCUAAGCAAAAAGCUUCAAAAAAAAUUUAAGGAUUUUUUUUUCCAAUGCUGCACGGGGCUAUAAGCUGGGGAUAAACAGAGGAAAGAGACGUGCUGUUAUGGAGCUUACGCUCUAGAGGAAAAGACAGACAAGUGAGGAAAAAAUGACAGACUGUGGGAAGUGCUCCAAAGGAUAAAGAACGGCAGGGGGAUGGGGAAGUUUCUCUGAAGCCUGAAGGAAGGAAAGCCAAGAAGGGGUCCCAUGGGCAGGGCUGGAGGGACCACCAGCCUGAAGGGCUGCUUCAUUCAGAAGCCACCCCUGGGCUGUGGAGGGCCCAGAGCGGGGGCCCACCUCUCGCCUGGCCCCUCCACGGCAGCCUUGGCACAGGAUGGGCAAGGCUUGGCAAAGGUGGAGGCAGCCCUGCCGAAAGGAGGGGUAAAGCUAAGGGGGACAGCCAGCCCAUGGGGGCAUAGGCCUUGGGCAUGUAGAGGAAGACUCAAGGAGCAUCUAUUUAGAUUCUAGGGUGAGAUCUACCUGGCAGGCCUGGCAAGUUUCCAGGUGCUUCUUUGGCAAGACUUACUCAUCUCUACACUGAGAGAGCAAAAGGCCUCUCCCUACCUAGGGCGGCUGGGCUCCCUCAGAGAACAGCGGGCCUCAGUGCUGCCUGUUAACCUCCUUCCUCCACCACCGCAAUGGCACGUCCUGCCCUCACCACUGUCUUCCUGGAAGCCUCUGCCACGGCAGAAUUGCAGCUUGUGGUUGGAAGGGACCAAAACCUCGUCUAGGUUGACUCUGCUCUACCGUGUCCCCAUCAAGUUCUCAACCCUCAGCGCUUCCAAUGGUCACAGAGUUUAGCAAAUAAUGUUAAGAAUAUUGAUCAUUUGAUAAAAACUCAACUAAGAUCCCAUUUUUACACCAUACACCAGAGUAAAUCCCAGUGAUGCAAAAAUUAAGGCAUAGGAAAAUAUAGCUGAAUACUUUACUGUGUUUUAAGCACAAAAACAGUGGAAAAGGUAACUAAGGUGAGAGUUUGAACUACUUGAUAACACCAAUUUUUAAAAAUAAGUUAAAAAUAAAAUCUAGCUACCUAUUAAAAGAACUGGGAAAUAUAUGUGAUAAAUAUCACAAAAGAGGCACUUCCAACUGGUGGUCCAGUGGUAAAGAAUCUGCCUUCCAAUGCAGAGGAUGCAGGUUCAAUCCCUGGUCAGGGAACUAUGAUCCUACAUGCCGCGGGGCAACUAAGCCCACGUGCCACAACCACUGAGCCCACGUGCCGUGGAGCCCAUGCGCCCUGGAGCCCACACGCCACAACGAGAGAGAGAAAACCUGCACGCCACAACUAGAGAGAAGCCCGAGUGCUGCAGUGAAGAGACCGUGUGCCACAACUAAAAGAUCCUGCAUGCUGCAACUAAGACCUGACACAGCCAAAAAAUAAAUUAAAAAAAAUAUUAAAAAGGAAUAUGUCCAUUAUGAAAUAUGCCAUCUUCAGAAAGAGAGCAAUUUGCAAGUAUUGACCUAAGAUGUCCAAGGAUACAUUUCUGUUAACAUAAAUAUUACUAUUUAUUACUAUCUUUAUUAAUAAAUGUACAUAUUUAACACUGUAAUUAUUGAAUGUAAUUUAAUGUAAAUGUAAAAUUAUUAAAUGUAAUAUAUCCAUCUAUAUUAAUAAUGUAAUUUAUAGCAUUGUUUUAUAUAUAUAUAUAUAUAUGUUAAUGUUUGGCUAGAAAAAGUCUGGAAGAAUAUACACCAAACUAUGACCAGUGCAGUUAUAUCUAGAAAGUGAGGUUGGGUGGACUUAAAACAGGGCAGGGACUAGAGUGAUCAAGGGAGGUAUGUAGGGUGCAAAACUUAAGGAGAUGCUUAUCUUCAGGGUCCCACUAUUUCAGGUCAGCCCCUGAGAGUGAGUGCCUCCUUAAAUUUGGUGCCAAGGGGCCUCCAUAGCCUCACCCUCAUCCUGGCUCUGACUUAAACACUUAAGUACGUUUUUGAAUUUUUGCAAUAAACAUUUUUGAAACAAAAAAAAUAACAAGGAAAAUAAAUAGAAUUAAAGGAUCUUACAGGUCUAUUGUAAAUAAGAAAAGCACUAAAGCCCUAUUAAAAAUGAUGAGCCAAAGUAUUAAAACCAGAAGAGAGAUGCCACUUUUGUCUAUCCUGUUGGCAAAAAUGGAAGAAAAAAAAAAAAAGAUAGUGGUAGCUAGAGUGAGAGGAAAUGAGAUGCAUCAGUUAUCUAUUGCUGUGUAACAAACCACUCCAAAGCUUAGCAGUUUGAAACAACAACAGUCGUUCAUUUUGAUCACAAGUCUGCACCUUGAACAGAGUUUAGCCUAAAAUGGCUCAUCUCUGCUCCAUGCAGUGUAUCUGAGUGUGGUCCAUCUGGCAAGUUGAUGUUGGCUGUCACCUGGAAGCUCAGCUAUGCAGUGGGCAGGAGGCCUCAGUUCCUCUCCACGAGGGCCUCUCCAUGGGCUGCUUGGGCUUCCUCACAGCAUGGUAGCUGAUCUCCAAGAGCAAACAUCCAAAGAGAACAAGGUGGAAGUGCAUGGCAUUUUUAUGUGCUAGCCUCAAAAGUCAAAUAGCAUUACUUUUGCCAUUCUUCAUUGGUUGAGGCAGAUUUAAAGGCUCACCCAGGAUACAGAUACAACGGGCUUCCCAGGUUCAAGAAGAGGAGUCCCAGGCUCCACCUUUUGAUGGGUCAGUGAUAAAAAGUUCUGGAAAACUAUAUAAGAUGGAAGAGAUUGUUGAGGUCACCUUCGUACAAUCUGCCACAGAGCACUCUCAAACACUGCUAGUGGUAGUAUAAACGGAUACAAAUUUGGGGAUAUAUGUAAUGUUUAAUGUAAUGCAACUGGUAAUAAGUUUUAAAAGCUUUAAGAAAAUAUACAACCUUUGAUCCAACAAUUCUAUUUUUGGAAUCUAUCCUAGGGAAGUAAUUGAGGAUAUUUACUAAGAUUUGCUACAUGAUGAAUAUUUAUAAUACCAAAACAAGAUUGACCUAAAGUCCAAAAUAGGAGAUUGAUUAAAUUCUGGUACAUCGUUACAGUGGAAUACAAUACAGCCAACAGAAAUGAUUUGAAUGUUUUUUUGUUUGUUUGUUUGUUUGUUUUUGUGGUACGCGGGCCUCUCACUGUUGUGGCCUCUCCCGUUGAGGAGCACAGGCUCCGGACGCGCAGGCUCAGCGGCCAUGGCUCACGGGCCCAGCCGCUCCGCGGCAUGUGGGAUCUUCCCGGACCGGGGCACGAACCCGCGUCCCCUGCAUCGGCAGGCGGACCCUCAACCACUGCGCCACCAGGGAAGCCCUGAAUGUGUAUUUUUUAACCUGAAAAUAUUUCCACAUCAUAUUGGUGCGUGCUGACUACACAGCCUCCCCCGUCACACUGAGAACUCUGGGAAGGCAGGGGCUGCAUCCUCUCCAUGCCUGUAUCUCCUUGUUUGUCACCUUCGCUGCUCAACGAGUGGUUGAUGAAUGAAUGUGUGACCUCCACACGCACUGGUAAGUAAAACACUUCCUGACUUUGCUAAGACUCAUCUCCUCUCUGUCCCAGGCCAGUUCGGCUCUCUGCCCUGGCUGCACUCAGUACCCUAGGGAGAGCAGAGAUGCCAAAAAGUGUUUGUUUUUUUUUUUUAAUUUAGGUUCUCAGAAGCGCUGUAAGAUAUGUCCAUUGAUAGAGUCUUUUUGGCGAGCUUUUGGCACGUGGUCUCUCCGGCAGAGCGGUUGAACAUCUUAUAAACACAGGGCCGCCAACCCCCCCCAAGUGCCAUGCCUUCUUAAAGCUUAAUCCCAGAACAGGCCCAGUGACACAUCUGCUGCAUUCUAUUGGUUAAAGUAAGUCACAGGCCCAGCCCAGAUUCAAGGGGAGGAUACCCCACAAAGGCAGAUACUAGAGAUGUUCAUCAGACAUCACUUGUGUGACACACGACCGUGUGACACACGACCAUGUGACCUCUUCUGACUAGCAUAAACCCCAAAGGUCUACUCCAUGGAUGAGAAUGUGGUGUGGUUGUGUGUGCUCUUUAAGGAUGUGGUCAUGUAAGUGGCAACCAAAUUUUUGAGAGCAACGCGUUUUUGUGUUUUCAGGAAAUAGUCAACAAUCUAAAAUUCAGUUAAAAAUCAUAGCCCACUUUGAAAAAGCAAAGAUCUAAUCGUGAAUUUUGGAGCUCACCUCUUAUCAUUGUCAUUUCAAUACAUGGUGGAAAAGCAAGUCACUCCAGAUGGUACAGUUAUUUUGAGAGAAUUUACAAUAAUUUGGGCGCUAACUCUGAAGCAUACGUAACAUACACAUAGCAAAAUCACACUUUCAAUUAAAUUUAUUCGAAGGCAAAACUUUGUGGGAAGGAAUAGUCCUGGGCAGAACUGCCUGGUAAUGGUCCUGGCUGCCUCUGAAGAGGGAGCCCCUGAAACCUGCCGUGUCCACACACAGGCCAGAUGCGUGCCACGAAGGGGUGCACAGACCUAAUUCUGCAGGGCAGGCAGUGGGCUAGAAGUCCUCUCAGAUGCUUCCAGCCUGAGGAUCCGGUCCUGCGAUGCCAGAGGUGGCUUUAAAAAGGGGCCAGAACUUGGAAAGAAGGAAAGAAGCAGUGUGCACCCUGGGCCUGGGGCCGCACCCUGGGGGCUGGUGGGCAGGAAUCCCCCAGCCUUGUCCCAGCAAGCAGCGCUGAAGCAGGAGGCUGCUGUGGCUUUUCCUGGGUCUUGGUGUCUGGGUGGUUAUCCCAGGCUUUCCCCUUCUUCUUUAACUGUCAUCACAGGGAUCACGUGGCAUAUGUAAUAAAGUCCAAAGAGUGCCACGGGAGAGCAGGAAGUACAUGAAAAGCCAGGGACCAUUAAGGGUGAGAGGUAAGUAGGGCCCUGACAGCUGAGUCAGCCUGAGUCCCCAGCCAGCGACCACACUGAUAACAGGCCCGGCAGCCUAAACAGGCCCGACAGGGCCGCGUGGCCGCCCGGGGAGCAGCAGCUGAGAGCCUGCUUCUGCCCCUGGGAGGAUGCGCUCCUCCCAUUCUCGGGCUGCAGCAGCGGAUUGCUUACAAACUCACUCGCUCCUUCAUUCGUUCGUGUAACAUAUAUUUACAAAGACCCCAUAAUAUGCUGGUCCCUACACUUGGAGCUGGAGACAUAAUGGCAAACAAGACAGUUUCUUUACUGUCAGCAGAGAGUGUCAAGGACGGGGCCCAAGGCUGUCAUAACAACAUUUAUUACCAUCUAUACAGCACCUGUUCAGGGCCAGGCCCUGAGCGCAAUCAUUUCAGGUGUAAUCCUGAGGCAGGUGUUGCUCUCUCCGUUUUCCUGUGGUUGAGUAACUUGCCCAAGGUCUCCAGCGCUGAGGCCGCUAGUAAAUGAGGUCACCUUUGGAGAGAACAGCUAGUGAGAAUCAACAGUGCUUGAAUGCCUUCUCAGAGCCGCCCAAGAGGAUCCCCAUGACUGAGUGGCUGGGACAAGGUGCGGGCACCCAAGCUAAGGGCAGCAAUGUGUGUAUUAUCAUGGAUGUUGUUGUCAUGACAAUGCUGGAACCCCAGGAGGGACCUGCCCCAUGUUAGCACAGGGAUGAGGGGAGGGCGUUCUCAGGAAGCAGGGGCCUCGUCCACACUAGCUGGUGUGUCUGAGGCCAGAAAGCCUGGACCCUGUGGGACCUGGGCAACCUCCACGGGGAGGGCGCCAGCCGGCUCCUAGGGCUCACCUGUACUUCAGGGGCUAAACCCACACCCUGACAGUUGAGCAGGAGGCAGGGGUGGGUGGGACUCACUGGAGCCCAUCCCUGGGCGGGGGUAGCUUCUCUGAGAGAGACCCUGGGCUGGAGAAAUGGGCAGAGCAGUCCUGGGUUUCUCCCCGCUGCAAUGAACAGCGUGACUAUCCUGCACGCGGCCUCGAGACUGGGGACCUCCUGCACUCCGCACAGCACGCACUUCCUUUCUUUCCCUCCCUUUCUGAACACCCCCUCUGCUGCCCUCCCCACAGAACACACAUUUCUUGCUAUUUGGGCUAGUGCAACCACCCCAGCAAUAUAAAGAAACGGUUUAACCCUUGGUUUAAAAGUCAAGCUCGCUUGGGGCUGAAAUUCUAUGUCCUCAAGGCACUUGGGGGAGCCUUAGACGAGCCCUCAAGAGGAGGGUCACAUACAAUAGAAUAAUUCCGGCCACAGGUCAGAGAUGCUGCUGCAUUAUGUGUUUUCAGAACUCAUUUUAUGUUGCCUGCACUGAUGUUUCUGCUCGUUCUGGAAACUACGUACGGGCUCUCCUCAUGAUACAUUUCAGGUGUUUUGCUAAGCAGAUGAAAUAAUUUUAUAGCCAGAAAUGGAAGGAAAUCAAGCAAAUGCUUUCAAUACCGAGGAGAGGAGGCCCCACACCAUCUCUUCAUGGGCUGAUGGCCGGCAGGGUCCAGAGGCUGGUCCAGCCGGUUGACACUGGCCCGUGAAUCAGGGACCUAACCCUGGUGAAUCAGGUGCCACUGGUGCUAGGAAGUAGGGGGCUGGUAAGUGGGCCUCAGUCACGGGGCCUCAAUCUAGACCUUUCUGCUAAAGCUUGGAUACAGUGUGGCAGGUAUUAACACACAGCCAAUAGCUAAUAAUACUAUCCUGAACAUUUGGUGAACUCAGUAUGUGCAUUUAGGUAGCACAACAGCCCCGUAAAGUACUUGAUAAUAUUAUGAUGCCCAUUUUACAGAUGAAUUUAUUUUACCAGUUACUGUUCCAUUACAUUAAUUUAUCAUUACAGUGGACAUUCUCCAAGUGUCAUCACUUGUAUUUCUCUGUACCUACUCCCUGGUGCCAAAUUCUGCCCAUUAAAACCCUGCCUCUUUGUCCAUCUCCUCACUUUUACUUGUGCCCUUUUGCUCACGGGAACCCCUUCUCUUCCCCCUUCUCCUCCUAUCCAGAUCCUUCCCAUCCUCCAGCCAUCUGACCACCCGGUGCCCAGUGGUCUCCUUCAUCUGACCUCUGACCUCCCCCAUCCCUGCCCCAGGCCUAAGCAGUGGGAAUCCCAGCUCGGUCCUCCCUGGCCUUGCCUGUCCUUGUUUUCGGCCUGUGCUCUAGGAGGACGGCCAGGGGCUCACACCCUCUUGGCCACUUUCAAAGAGCCUGGGGGGCCAUGAGUGGUGAGAGAAGGGUCCUCCCAGAGUGGGCUGGGGGGCAGGAAAGGGAAGCAGGGGCGGCUGGGCCCCCAGAGGCCACAGGCCCGUCUCCCCCAGCUGAGGGAGAGAGCUCACCAGGCUCUGGGGUGGAGGUGCUGGGCUGAGCUAAUCACCUAAAUGGACGCAGGCUGUUGAGAGACAGGCUCUAUUCCCUAAUAGAAUUUGCCCUCAAGUGCAAUUUAAUUUUCUCUGAGGCGGUCUCUAGCCCCUCUGCUACCCUCCCCCAGACAGACCCUCAUUUCCCCAGCUUCCAAGGGGGAGAAGAGCACCUUUCCUCAGAGGAAAGAGGAGAAGGGCCUCCCCUGGGCUCUGUCCCGAUCUGUCCGUUUGGCCUCCUCCUUUGGAACAGCCCCGCCCUUGCCCCCCACGCCCCUCCCCCAGCUCCCACCCUAGAUGGGGGUGCCGCUCCCCUCCCAGACACUCUCUGACUUUCCUCUAGAGCCGCCUGCACUCAGCACGCGUUGAGAACAGCAGCUCCAGCCUCCAGUCCUCACCAUGAAGGCAGAGUCUUCCCCUGACCUCUGGCAGAAAGUUUUGGUGAUGAAGGGCAGGCCCCUUCCCAGUGAACCAGGGCUGUGAAGAGAGGAGAUGGCCGAGCAGUGAGAGAAGUAAAAGAAGUUCCUCGUCCUUAUACACUCACAAUAGCGGGCAUCUGUGGGGGACUUUCCAUGUGCCAGGCCCUGUGCUAACAGCUGGAGCCCUCCUGUGACAAUACUAGCACUCUCCACACACCAGUCAGUAAGAGGAGGCUCAGAGUGGGUCACCCUCCAGCAGUCAGCGAAACUGAAGUCCAUCUGGUCUCGGGGUCGGGAGUCUGACCCCCGCCUCACCACUUCUCACAUGAACUCCACCCCUACCCUGGCCUUUCUCCUGUCACCUCUGCCCACAUCUGGCACAUUCAUGUUUUUUUGGUUGUAAGUCAGUUCCUGAGAGGAAACUGCUGAGUUAAGUUCCUCCAGUAAAAAUUCUUUCACCAAGA